rnacentral:rRNA from 1 species
UACGUAGGCAGCAAGCGUUGUUCGGAAUUACUGGGCGUAAAGAGUGUGUAGGCGGUGCUCUAAGUUUGGUGUGAAAUCUCCCGGCUCAACUGGGAGGGUGCGCCGAAAACUGGAAUGCUUGAACAUGGGAGAGGAAAGCGGAAUUCCUGGUGUAGCGGUGAAAUGCGUAGAUAUCGAGGAGGAACACCUGCGGUGUAGACGGCUUUCUGGACCAUUGUUGACGCUGAGACACGAAAGCGUGGGUAGCAAACAGG